GUCUUCGUGGAGUAAAACGACUCGCUCCCUCUCCUUAAAAUCUGUUGACUCAGGGUUGGGAGAGUCGGUGGUUCGAAUCCACCCGAGGACG